GGCCCUUUAGCUCAGUGGUUAGAGCAGACGACUCAUAAUCGCUUGGCCGCUGGUUCAAGUCCAGCAGGGGCCACCA
rnacentral:tRNA from 1 species